CCUACGUGACGCAGCAGUUGGGAAUAUUGCACAAUGGGCGACAGCCUGAUGCAGCAACGCCGCGUUAAGGAAGACGGUUUUCGGAUUGUAAACUUCUGUCAAUAGGGAAGAAAGAAAUGCCGGUACCUAAAUAAGAAGCCCCGGCUAACUACGUGACAGCAGCCGCGGUAAUACGUAGGGGGCAAGCGUUAUCCGGAAUUACUUGGUGGAAAGGGAGAGUAGGUGGCAAGGUAAGCGAUAUGUGAAAGCCUUAAGCUUAAAUUGAGGAUUGCAUAACGAACUAUCUAGCUAGAGUACAGGAGAGGAAAGCGGAAUUCCUAGGGUAGCGGUGAAAUGCGUAGAUAUUAGGAAGAACACCAGUGGCGAAGGCGGCUUUCUGGACUGAAACUGACGCUGAGGCUCGAAAGCGUGGGGAGCGAACAGGAUUAGAUACCCGAGUAGUC
rnacentral:rRNA from 1 species